CCUANGGGGGGCUGCAGUCGAGAGGCUUCGGCAAUGGGGGAAACCCUGACCGAGCGACGCCGCGUGAGGGAUGAAGGCCCUUGGGUUGUAAACCUCUUUUGUUCGGGAAGAAGUGCGAUCAGGUGAAUAAUCUGGUCGUUUGACGGUACCGGACGAAUAAGCUCCGGCUAACUCCGUGCCAGCAGCCGCGGUAACACGGGGGGAGCAAGCGUUGUUCGGUAUUACUGGGCUUAAAGAGUUCGUAGGCGGUCUUGUAGGUGAGGUGUGAAAGCCCUCGGCUUAACCGAGGAAUUGCGCUUCAAACCGCGAGGCUUGAGGGAGGUAGGGGUAUGCGGAACAGAUGGUGGAGCGGUGAAAUGCGUUGAUAUCAUCUGGAACACCGGUGGCGAAAGCGGCAUACUGGACCUUGUCUGACGCUGAGGAACGAAAGCUAGGGUAGCGAACGGGAUUAGAUACCCUUNUANUC
rnacentral:rRNA from 1 species